CGAGUGAGCUCAGCGACUGCUGAGGAAUGAAUGAUUGAAUGAAUGCAUGCAUGAAUGGAAGGGGGAAGGGAAAGUGGGCGGGCUCUACCCUCUGGGCCAGCCCUAGCCCUCCCCGACCUGGCCUAGCUCCCCUAGCCUUUGAGGGGUCUGAAGGGCGCUGGCGCAGCCUAUUUGCAUAGCACUGGCUCUGAGGAGUCCCCGCCGAGAAACCGAGGCAGCCUUGCGGCCCAGGGCUGGUCAGCCUUGGCAGUGGCGUCUGACCUGGAGUCUGGGGCAGCUGGUCUGGGAAAGGCUGCGCCACGCAACCGAGGGUUGGACCCAGGGCCUCUGCUCCCUUCCCACCGCGCCCAGCCCAGCCCACCCUCCCUCCCUGAUCCCCGCAAGCCAGGUGGGGCCCAGAGGGGACGUGACUCCCUUUCUGCAGAGGCAGCCCCAGAAGGGCCUGGGUGAGGCUGCUGGACAGGGCAGCGGGGCACCCUCCUCCCGGAGACACCGCUUCUGGUCUGAGGCUCGGAUCCCCAUUGCCUCCUGCGCCGGAGGAGGCGAGAAGCGCCCGGAGACGGGGGUCACAGACGGCACCCCGCAGGCUGCCAUUCCUUCAACCAAGAUGUAGAGAACGCCAUGGACAAAAGCUUUAAAAAAAUUCUGAAACUUCUGCCCGUGGAAGUCAACAUUUUUGCGGAGCAGAGAGCCCAGGCACAAAAUAAGAAGGCGGAAGAGACGGACUGGGGGGUAGGGGGACUGCGGCGGGGAAGAGCAGGGAGCGCAGGAAGCCCUGAAGUCGGGCGGCUUCCCCCUCCCAGGUCAAGCUGAGAGAUGGGGGUUGGGGGGAUUUAAAAUCGCGCGCCUGGCAGGGGCGGGACGGGGCCACCUGCCUUCCGGCGGGAAGGGCUGGGCAGGGCCCGCGGCGCGCAGGGUGGAGGCACCGACGGUCAGCACACGGGUGAGGUGAGGCGCGUAAUCCCAUCUGAGCCGGACUCUUUAGGACGAGUCCGGUCCCUGGAGCCAGAAAAGCCGGUGCAGCGCCAGCGUGGACGUGCGCUUCCCGGAACACGCUCAGGGACGCCUGCUAGGACCGGCGAGGCUGGAGGGGUCGCGAUGUUGGGGGCUGAGGUUCCUCUCCCCCGGGCGGGCGGCUGCUGCUAGGGGACCGCAUCGCCCGGCAGUGAGUGGGUGUCUCACAUCACUGUUGAGACACCCGGGAGCCUCGGAGGGAAACCUGUGGGAAGGAGCUGCCAGCCUCCUUCUGGGAACCAGGUGACCCCAGGAUCACGGCUCAGGUGCAUCCAGCCCUGGAAACCCUGUGAGGAGCUCUGUGGGGCCUCGCUCAGAAAGGGGGCCUGGGAAGAAGCUGCUGCCAACCCAUGGCCCAAGCCUGCAGGCACCACAGCUGCUGCGUGGACGCAUGGAGCCUCCGGGGGCCAAGGAGCCUCCGGGAACAGGCAGCAGGGGAGGCCAGGCCAGCAGGACCUGCGGCGCCACGCCUUGGCAGGUGCCAGGCAACAGGAUCGUGCCAUGGCGGUGACAUGGGAGAAUGCGGGAACCUGAGAGGUGAGAGGGAAUAAGUUUCCAGAACUCACUCUCAGGCAGGAGGAGACAUGACUCAGCUGAGCCAGAAAGCGCUCGUUCCACACCAAUGCACGUAUGAGCGAGGCACGCCCGGUGCCACUCCAUGAGAUUCCAGCACCAAGGGAACCUCGACCCUGCCUGGACCCCCAGCGAAGGCUCCAGCCCACAGAUGCUGCCCACUCGGUGGGUGGGGCCCCCGCUGGCUGUAGCCCCUCCAUGGAACCUGAGAGCAUGAGGAACUUUCCCCUCCUGAACCUCUCCCGCCUGUCUCAUGUGGCUGAGGUGUGGCCGUCCCUCCCCAACCCUGACCCGGCCCGUCAGCCCCAGAGGGAACCCGUCAACUGAGCCCAAAAGUGGCUGCUCUGACAAUCAGGAUUCAGACGUGUGAAGAGAAGGCUGUGUGCGCAUGUGUGUGUACCAGAUUGUCCACGAACAUCCAGAAGAAGGGCCUGGGGCUGCCCGGCCCGGGCCGCGCGUACUGCAGGAGCCGGUGGAACUGGAACAGGACAGACGGGCGUGGGCACCGAGAGGCAGCAGCAGUGGGCAAAGUCGCAUACGGCAGCACGACAUGUCCCCAGGGCCGACCCUGCUCAGCUCGCAGGGCCCACAGGCCAGGGCAAGCCGAGGAGUGGAGCCCACUAGGGCAGAGCCAUCCCCAGCCACCACCAGCCUCAGGGGCUGCCUGCCUGGAGCCCAGCGGAGAACGCUCCGGAUCUGAGGUGAAGACUCUGUGCCACGCGUUUGGGGACUGAACUCUGCCUUUAUCUUUUCUUGCUCAAAUUCCUUUCUAAGGAGCGUGGGGGAAUCACGGCUUACCAACCACAAAAGCUUGUGGAAUGGGUGUUUUUGAGCCGGUUUAUUAUAGCUCUGCCAUAGCGUCACACGACAGACAGCAGACCUUAUUUUAACUCAAGCAUUCCUUUCUACUGACUCCGAGUUUUCAGGCAAAGCUUAACUCUUUCAUCCAACUGCCAACUAAAGAAUCCCUAAUGUAAGCUUCAAGAUAUCCCGCCUUUUGGGGCUGAACCAAUGCACACCUAUGUAUUGAUUGGAUUGAUUGAUUGAAUUUUUUGAGAUGGGGUCUCACUCUGUCACCCAGGCUGUAGUGCAUUGGCGAGAUCUCGGCUCACUGCAACCUCCACCUCCUGGGCUCAAGCAAUCCUCCAGCCUCAGCCCCCGGAGUAGCUGGGACCACAGGUGGUCUUGAACUCCUGAGCUCAAAGUGCUGGGAUUACAGGCGUGAGCCACCGUGCCUGGCCCGUGUACUGAUUUCUGAUUCUACCUGCAGUUCCCAUCUCCCUGAAAUGUAUAAAACCAAAACUGUUACUGACCGCCUCAGGUGCACUUCCUCCAGACCUCUUAAGACUGUGUUUCCCAGGCCAUGGUCCCUCUUACUGGCUCAGAAUAAACCUAUUUAAAUACUUUGGCAGAAUUUGGUUUUUCUGUCUGUUAUCCCAUUGCCCUUGGAGAACCAGUCCUGGGAGGCCCAACCCAAUGCACAGACUGUCAUCCGUGAACACGGCAGGCGCCGUCCACAGCCCUCCAGGAGCUAACGGUAAGGGCAGAGCCUUCCCUGCUGAACAGAAACAGCCCCCGCAGAGCACCAGUGACCAGGCUGCUCCAUGGCCAAGCUGGAAGAAGACAAAACACAGCCACUCAACAAUCUUGCCUGGACACAGACACGACAAAGGUUGCCCUUGGGUCCCAAAAAGUGACCAAGGGGAGGCUGUGAGCAACGUUGGCUUCAUUAACAGUGAUGGCCCUCACUCUGUCAUUCUUCUUAAAUAAAAAUUAAUGGCUGGGCACG